rnacentral:rRNA from 1 species
CUAUGGGAGGCAGCAGUGAGGAAUAUUGGACAAUGGGCGCAAGCCUGAUCCAGCCAUGCCGCGUGGGUGAUGAAGGCCCUAGGGUUGUAAAGCCCUUUCGGCGGGGAAGAUAAUGACGGUACCCGCAGAAGAAGCCCCGGCUAACUUCGUGCCAGCAGCCGCGGUAAUACGAAGGGGGCUAGCGUUGCUCGGAAUCACUGGGCGUAAAGCGCACGUAGGCGGACUCUUAAGUCGGGGGUGAAAUCCUGGAGCUCAACUCGAGAACUGCCUUCGAUACUGGGAGUCUUCGAGUUCGGGAGAGGUGAGUGGAACUGCGAGUGUAGAGGUGAAAUUCGUAGAUAUUCGCAAGAACACCAGUGGCGAAGGCGGCUCACUGGCCCGAUACUGACGCUGAGGUGCGAAAGCGUGGGGAGCAAACAGGAUUAGAAACCCCGGUAGUCC